CAGUAGCCGCGGUAAUACGUAGGGUGCAAGCGUUAUCCGGAAUUAUUGGGCGUAAAGAGCUCGUAGGCGGUUUGUCGCGUCUGCUGUGAAAACUGGAGGCUCAACCUCCAGCCUGCAGUGGGUACGGGCAGACUAGAGUGCGGUAGGGGAGAUUGGAAUUCCUGGUGUAGCGGUGGAAUGCGCAGAUAUCAGGAGGAACACCGAUGGCGAAGGCAGAUCUCUGGGCCGUAACUGACGCUGAGGAGCGAAAGCGUGGGGAGCGAACAGGAUUAGAUACCCCAGUAGUCCCUGUCUCUUAUAC
rnacentral:rRNA from 1 species